rnacentral:rRNA from 1 species
AUUGAACGCUGGCGGCAUGCCUUACACAUGCAAGUCGAGCGCAGGAAGCCAUCUGAACCCUUCGGGGGGACGACGGUGGAAUGAGCGGCGGACGGGUGAGUAACACGUAAAGAACCUGCCCAUAGGUCUGGGAUAACCACGAGAAAUCGGGGCUAAUACCGGAUGUGUCAUCGGACCGCAUGGUCCGCUGAUGAAAGGCGCUCCGGCGUCGCCCAUGGAUGGCUUUGCGGUGCAUUAGCUAGUUGGUGGGGUAACGGCCCACCAAGGCGACGAUGCAUAGCCGACCUGAGAGGGUGAUCGGCCACACUGGGACUGAGACACGGCCCAGACUCCUACGGGAGGCAGCAGUAGGGAAUCUUCCACAAUGGACGAAAGUCUGAUGGAGCAACGCCGCGUGAGUGAAGAAGGUUCUCGGAUCGUAAAACUCUGUUGUGAGGGAAGAACAAGUACCGGAGUAACUGCCGGUGCCUUGACGGUACCUCAUUAGAAAGCCACGGCUAACUACGUGCAGCCGCCGCAGUAA